GCGGAUGUAGUUUAGUGGUAGAACGCGUGCUUGCCAAGCACGGGGCUGGGGUUCGAUUCCCCAUAUCCGCA
rnacentral:tRNA from 2 species